GUUCAGUAGUGUUUUGCUGCAGUGACAUCUCGGUGCUGGCGACUCGCUGCUGGCGAUGACUCGCUGCUGGCGAAUCGAUCUGCGCAUGUGUUUAAAAUGGUAUUUACUUCCGAAAACAUGCCUGCUGCGCGCGCUCACUUUUCUCUGACUGAAACUCAGUUCCUGGCAAGUUGCAGAGAUCAUGUAAUUAAGGCAGCCUCCACAUCCAAUUCUUUAUUUGUACUCCAUGAAAUAGAGACAGAAUAUAUGAAGAACUUUGACUUGUAUCGAAUAGCCUUGCUUGAAGCUGUUGCAGCAUCCAAAAGAAAAUCUACAGCUACCUUCCUGUUUGGUAACAAAUCCAUGCUGCGUUCAUAACAAAAUGGAAGACUUGCAAGUCAUAAUGGCCGUACUCAACUGGUCGUUCUUCGUUAAACAACGCCCACUUGAGCAGUAGUAAUAUCCUACUUAACGAAGAAGACCUUUCAAAUAGAAAACUGGUAAAUACUCAACAAAACAAAAAGGCUACAUAGUUACCCCAAUGAUACAUCAUGCAUAAUCAAGGUUUUAAAAAAAAAAUGUUUUUCAUCCAGUUUUUAAAUUCAGUUAGCCUAUAAUUAUUUUUUGACUUCAUGUGCGUAAAUGUUAAAAUUUUUAAUUUCUGAAAUUUAAUCUAAAUUAUAUUAAUGCAGAGUUGUUGCUAAACCAAUUGGCCAUGUUUGUUUUGGUCACGCGAAUAAUGCUAAUUAAUGCACACUGGUUUACAUUAAUUUUAUAUCUAUUUUACAAACCAGUAAAAUGGAAAUAAUACUCAACGAA